CUGGUGGGUAUCCUGGCAAACAAUCAAAGCAUCAAGAAACUCGGUAGAAGGGUGGCGGAGACCAGUCAAAGAAAGAACCUCAAUGUGGUUGAUAUGGAGGAAUCCAUUUGGAGCAGAAUUGUUAUUGGUUCUCAGGAGUCUAUUUUGGUUAUGGUUAGCAAAGUCGCAAGGCAAUGAAUUAUCCUCAUCAUCAAAACUUGGGAUAUCGACAGCCGCCCCAGAAUGCACCC
rnacentral:lncRNA from 1 species